ACAAGACACCUCUCAGGCCAACGAGUGACCAUCACUCAUAAACACACUGGAAAACACAGCAGAAGGGACUUAAAAAGCCAAAAAACUAAAAAAAUACAUUACAACAAACAAAACCCAAGAAACAAAUGGGGACAGAAGGAAGAAAGGAAAGAAAGAGGUAGAGAAGGAAAGGAGAGAAAGAGAAGGGAAAUAAAAAGGGAAGGAAGGAAAGAGGUAGAGAAGGAAGAAAGGAGAGAAGGAAAGAAAAAAGGGAAGGAAGGAAAGAGGGAGGGAAGAAAGGAUAAAGAAAGAGGGAGGGAAAGAAGGAAAGAGGGAAGGAUGGAUGCAAAGAGGAAAGGAAGGAAGGGAAGAAAGAGGUGGAUGCAAAGAGCGAAGGGAGGGAGGAAAGAAAGAGGGAAGGAGAGAAGGAAAGGGAAGGAUGGACGCAAAGAGUGAAGGAAGGAAAGAAAGAAAGGUAGAGAAGGAAGAAAGGAGGGAGGGAAGGGAAAUAAAAAGGGGGGAAGGAAGGCAAGAGGUAGAGAAGGAAGAAAGGAGAGAAGGAAAGAAAAAAGGGGAAGGAAGGAAAGAGGGAGGGAAGAAAGGAUAAAGAAAGAGGGAGGGAAAGAAGGAAAGAGAGAAGGAUGGAUGCAAAGAGGAAAGGAAGGAAGGGAAGAAAGAGGUGGAUGCAAAGAGCGAAGGGAGGGAGGAAAGAAAGAGGGAAGGAGAGAAGGAAAGGGAAGGAUGGACGCAAAGAGUGAAGGAAGGAAAGAAAGGUAGAGAAGGAAGAAAGGAGAGAGAGAAGGGAAAUAAAAAGGGGGGAAGGAAGGCAAGAGGUAGAGAAGG